AGAAUCAACGCUGGCGGCGUGCCUCAGACAUGCAAGUCGAACGCGAAAGUCCCCUUCGGGGGAUAAGUAGAGUGGCGCACGGGUGAGUAACACGUAGGUAAUCUACCUUCGGGUGGGGAAUAACCCAGGGAAACUUGGGCUAACACCGCAUAAUGCAGCGGCACCACAUGGUGACAGUUGUUAAAGCGGGGGAUUUUUAGGACCUCGCGCCUGAAGAGGAGCCUGCGGCAGAUUAGCUAGUUGGUAAGGUAACGGCUUACCAAGGCGACGAUCU
rnacentral:rRNA from 1 species